rnacentral:lncRNA from 1 species
UCCUCUAUCCAUAUAGGUUAACUUACAAGUGCUUCUUAAGGGUUGAAACUACUUCCUUCUGGCUUCUGUGCUCUCCCUGUGUGCCAUUUUGAUGGAUAGUAAUUUUUUUCCACAAUGUAAGCCAUUUUGACAUGAAGAGUGUGCUUUUCCAAGGCACUUUGGACUGAUCGUUUGCCAUCCGCCUUUGACAAAGCUACAUAUUAUCAGAAAUACCAAAGGAGCAGCUCGACUCUCCACCAUAACUCACAUUAACUCACUCGGCAUAUUAGGCCCUGAAAUUCUAAUACCUCAUUUUCAUGACAAAUGACGCAACAAGAGCCCAAAAUGGCUGCCAUGAAUUUCAUUGCUGACUGAGGCCACAGGGGAGAAGAACAAGCAGACCGCUUAACCUCUCUGCUCUCCACAAAGUCACAGGAGGAUAAGAAGCUGACCAUGCAUUAAGGCUGCCACUUCCUUGGCCUUGGUGCCUGCCCUAGUGACUUUGAGUGGAUUGGAUUCUGAAGAUAUGAACCCAUCAAGAAAACAGGGUUGUAAUGGUUACAUCUGAUACUAUCUGGAAAUGGUCUCUGGAUGAGGGCCUGAUUGACAGCCUCUAGAUAAAGGGGUCUUCUCCCUAACACAUCAACCAUGUGCUCUCUAGGGGAUGGCUGAGGGCAUUGUGUUUCCCAGCAGUUUGUGAGCUUUCAUUUUAUACACUUGAUAUGCAAUUAGCAAUAGGAUUCUGUGUUUGCCUUAAGCCUAGAGAAACAUAGAGGAACUUCUGACCCUCAUGGAAGGUACCCUAGCAGCAAAACCACAAGAGUUUUGUGUUUGUCAAGCUUUUUCACAGAAAACAGAACUGGUUGGAUAUAUGUGUGUGUGUGUGUGUGUGUGUGUGUGUGUGUGUGCAUAUGCACACAUGUAUAUGCAUGCAGGAUGAAGACUCAUAUUCUGCUUCUUCUCAGCCCUCUGAUCCUGUCCUGGGUUCUGGAUGAGGUUGCUUAGAAUUGAGGCCUCUGGUUGGGUUGCUUUACUGUGCUUAGUCUUAUGGUUAGGGAAAGUCUGAGAACUUCAAUGCACUAUGUUAAGCUUUGUUGAAUGCAUGACUUAAUUUAAUUCUUCUAACAUGCUUAUACAGUAGAUACUAUAAUCAUCAAUUUAAGAAGUAAAUAGUUCCUUCACUGUUAAAGUGCAUAGAGUUUUAUGUCUGAUGUCUUUUUCCUGGUGGGUAAUCUCUCAUGACUAGCAUGAUUGCAAAUGGUGUGUGAGCCAUGGCUGGUGGCAUAAGGGCUUGUAUUGUUUGUUUACUCUUUACAGAAACACAGCAUCAGAGAGUAGUGUCCCUUAGCUCUGUCUUAAUGAAGUCCUAAAUGGCAAAGACACUGUGUGGCUAACAAUUCUACAGUCCCAAAAGCAUUUACCAGGUCAGCAAGUCAUUCAGCUGGGGAAGAGAAUGAAAUCUAAGGAAGAGAGAAACAGUGUAGGGAGGGAGGAUGGUGUAUCUCUAGAACACUAAGAAGGGGCUGUGGCCUCAGUGUUAUUCAGACUACCAGGUUUAGAUUCUAGAGAUAUAAUUACACAUGGUUCAGCUUUGAUCCUUAAGUCAGACCAAGAGCACAGGCAGUCACAGCACAGUGUAAUGUGUCAUGCAAUCAUGGUGUCCUGUAAGAGAGGCUUCUAAUCCAGCCUGGUGAGUCAAGAAUGUUUUCCAGAACAGUGACAGCUAGGUGAAAUUUCAGAUGAUGACAAGGUCCCAUUCUCCAUUGCUAAACUGACAAUGAAUGUGCUAGGUACCACCCUCCAGUCUCAUCACAUUGAUGUAUUAAUGGGUUCCAUGAAAACUCACAGUUGAGUGCUUUGGAACAGUGGACACUUUCUUCAUCACCAGUCUCAGCUCUGUUCUACCACUGUCUGACAUAUGUGUUCAUGCUUUCCCAUGCACACCUUCUCCCUGGAGACAUACAAACACACAUGUGUGUAUUUCAGCUUGGGGAUGCUUGCAUAUCUUUUCUCAUUUGGUGGCUAUUCUUUGAAGGCUUGAACUCAUGGCAGAAGAACUGUUUAAUAGCCAUGGCAUGAUGGGACCUAAAGCUAGAGAGCAGGUAGCAAAUGCUAAGCAAGAGUAAGGUGAUAACAAUGAUUGUAGCCAGCAGUGGAAUUAGAAUGACAGUCUGGGAUGACUGGCAAAGAGCUAUAGAGAUGAUCAGCCAAAGUGUAGGGUUAAGGGCAGCUUUUGAAGUUAUCCUACACCUGUACAACCAAAACAAACCAAGAAGGGAUAUUUGGAAGAUGGAUCAGAUUGGGACUUACAACUACUGUCUAAAGGACUGCCAGAGCGGUAAGAAGGCUCCAGCAAUACAAUAUUUGUAUAUAAUUAUUGUCCUAUUUUCUAAAAGGAGUGGUGGCAUUUAUGCAGGUAACAUGCAUUUGGAAAUGGAAAGACGCAAGUGUUCUAAUGAUGCUUGGGCAUCAGUGGAGUUGAUAUCAAUGGCAGUUAAUUAUCAUCAUAUCAAAGUGUCAUCAUAGCAUUAUGCAUUACCCUAGCCCAACCUUUCUUAGAGUAAGGAGAUGUGCAGAACUGUUGAUAUGUGAGGUCUUGUUCAGACUGACUGGUUUUAUUGUCAAUUUGGGAUCUAGAAUUAUAUAGAAGAAAAACACCUACUGGAUAUGUUUCUAGGUUGGGAUAAUUGAGGUUGGAAGACUCACUCUAAAUAUUGAUGAUGCCAUUUUGUAGCCUGGGUCCCAAGCUGAAUGAAGAGGAGAAAAUGAGCUGAACAUAGUAUAUCUCUUUCUGUGGUUUCUGACUACAAAAACAAAGUAGGCAGCUACCUCACACUCCUGCUGCCACGACUUCCCCUCCAGGUGGACUGCACCCUCAAACCUUGAGCCAAAACAAAGCCUUUCUUCCUUAAGUUGCUUUUGUCAGAAUAAUAGAAAAAGUAGUUAGUAGAGAAAAUUGGUACCAGAAGUGGGGUUGAUGUACUUCACCAUAUAGCUUUUAUGCUUAAGGAACUGGUUUGCUCAAGGAAUAUGGUAGACUUCAGAGCUAGACAAAUACCAGAGUUCUAUAAGCAGAGGUUAAUGGUUCACUCCUGGUGGGAGUUUGAAAGAUCAGAAUGAUAAUAGAAAUGUGGAUAGAGGGAAUCCUAACCAAUAAAAUCUAGAGGUGACAGAGAAAGCAGCAAUAAUUGUUAAAAAGAUUAGCUUCAGUAAAGUAAAGCCUUUCUUCUCAUCAAAAAGCUCUAUCUUAUAAAAGUUCAAGUUCUUUUGGAAGGGUCUAAACCAGCAUCCAUUUCUUUCUGACACCUGACUACAGACAUAAGGUGUCCAGCUGCCCUGUUCUCACUCACAGCUAGAGCCACUCCUUCCUCCAUGUCUUCUUGCUAUGGCAGAUUUGACUUCAACUCUUCAGUCCUUGAGUUGCUUCACAGUAACUAAAACAAAACCUAACAUUGCUUCAGACUGAAGAUCUCGAAUGGCUAUAGGCACUGAUGAGCCUACUGUACAUGUCACCUGAGAGCUGCCUGUCUAUAGAAUAGAUGGAAUGCCUGCUUAUAUAGAUUACCCUGUGAAAUGGGGCACCAGUUUCCAGAAUACAGUUUACACUAACUCAUAAGGAUGGCCAUUGUGUGUUGGAUUGCUCCCCAACCACUGGCAGAAAGCAUGGGCUUGUCACCUGUCCUUCCCAUGGCUUGCCUCACAAUUGGGCAUCCUGACCACGGAUCUGGGCUCUGCAGGAGAGGGCAGCUGGAGCCCAGCGGUCAACACAUCCUCAUUUGGCUUAAGGUCUGGCUGUGGCCUGUUCAAUUCAAACUUUCAUCCAGCAUGGGGAGCAGACUGUCUUAUAUCUUCAAUCAACAAGAGGAGUCUUCUAGGUGGAGCAAGCCCUGUGCAGCACCCAAAUCUGGCAAACCCCUGAUGUCUUGAUAACAGAAAUUGGUGUGAUAGAGAGGGCCAGUUUGCUGGAAGAAGCUGAGUGAAUCCAUGAAAAGAGCCCUGCUGAAGAGGUAAUGGAGAGCGGGGGAGGAGGCACUGCCUGCUGCACAAGCAUGAGAAGC